UACAGAGGGUGCGAGCGUUACUCGGAAUUACUGGGCGUAAAGCGCGCGUAGGCGGCUUUUCAAGUCGAUUGUGAAAUCCCCGGGCUUAACCUGGGAACUGCAGUCGAGACUGUCUAGCUAGAGUAUGGGAAAGGGAAGUGGAAUUUCAGGUGUAGCGGUGAAAUGCGUAGAUAUCUGAAGGAACAUCAGUGGCGAAAGCGACGUCCUGGACCAAUACUGACGCUCAUGUGCGAAAGCGUGGGGAGCAAACAGG
rnacentral:rRNA from 1 species